rnacentral:lncRNA from 1 species
UUGCAUGUUUGAAUUCAAAUUUUGAAUCACAAAAGGCUUUAAGAGAUUUUGUUUACAUCCCUGUAACCUUUGGAUUUUCAAACCAAUAGGUUUGAUGUAUAAAAAGGGUUUAAUGCAUAUAUGAGCUAUCCCAUAAUUUUUUGAUAAUUAUUUGGAGUUGAAAAAGUAUUUUAUUUAAAUGGAUAUAUAGCCCUAAGGGCAUUUAUAGGGCAAAUGUAUUUUUAUAUAUUUUAUUUUGAAGAGAAACUACUUCCAAAAGUUGUAUCAUGGUAGAACAUGAUUUUACAAAUUUUCUGGAAUUCAAUUGGACCAAUUUGGAGUUCAAACUCAAAACAUAUCAAAGAAAUGGGAAAAACAGAAAAAGAAAAGGUCUAAAAGAAAAAAAAAGGGGUAAACGGACCGGCCCGGCCGAAUUGGGCCGAACCGGCCCAACUCCCCCGCGCGCGCCACAGCCCAGCUGGCCC